AAUGAACGCUGGCGGCAUGCCUUACACAUGCAAGUCGAACGGCAGCAUGACCUAGCUUGCUAGGUUGAUGCGGAGCGGCUAACGAGCGAGUCAUACAUCCGAACGUUCCCUUUAGUGGGGGAUAACUUAGCGAAAGUUACGCUAAUACCGCAGAUUUUCCGAGGCGGAAAGCACGGGACUUUCGGUCCCUUCGCUGGAAGAGCGGCCGCUGUCGGAUCAGCUAGCCGGUGAGGUAAAGGCUCACCAAGGCAACGAUCCGUAACGGGUCCGAGAGGACGAUCCGCCACACUGGGAGUGAGGCACGGCCGCGACUCCGAGGGGAGGAAGCAGUGGGGAAUGUUGCACGAUGCGGGCAAGCCUAAUCCAGCCAUGCCGGGUGAGGGAAGAAGGCCUUCGGGUUGGAAAGCGCUUUCGGCUGGGGAGAGGUCACGCCCUCUAAACCAGGAUGUGAAUGACGGUACCAGGAUAAGAAGCACCGGCUAACUACGUG
rnacentral:rRNA from 1 species